UCAACUUAAAACUACUUGAUACGUAAUAUUUUUUUAAAUACAAUUGAGUAAGAAGAAUUAUAUCUAUUCAUUUUUAAAGUUUUAGAAUCAAAUUAUAUUAGAGUUUCAAACAAGCAAAAAUUUCAAUUUUACAUUUAAGUUGAGAGACUAAAAUCAUAUUUAUUCCUAUAAAUAAAGUAUUUGAUGCCAUAAGACCCGGUUAAAGUUGAUAAGAAGAUGUAGUUAGGGUGUUGCUCCCUCCACCACUACCCCUUGCUCCCUCCACCUCCCCAUUCCUCUUUUAGUCCUCUUUCCACCUCUUUAUUCCUAUUUUAUCUUUGAGUAAAAUUUUAUUUUUAGGAUUAAU
rnacentral:lncRNA from 1 species